AGCUUUGUGCAGUGACAGUAUCGUAGCCAAUGAGGUUUAUCUGAGGCACGAUUAUUGCUAAUUAAAAUUGGCCGCAGCCAGUGUCCACAAUAGCCAAAUUAUGGAAAGAGCCUAGAUGUCCAGCGACAGAUGAAUGGAUAAAGAAGAUGUGGUGUAUAUAUAUAUAU
rnacentral:snRNA from 1 species